AGUGGAGCAAUCCAUGAGUAAAGUGGCGACCGGGUGAGUAACACGUGACUAACCUACCUCCGAGUGGGGAAUAACUCCGGGAAACCGGGGCUAAUACCGCAUAACAUCGCAAGAUCAAAGCAGCAAUGCGCUUGGAGAGAGGAGUCCGCGGCCGAUUAGCUAGUUGGUAGGGUAAUGGCCUACCAAGGCAAUGAUCGGUAGCCGGCCUGAGAGGGCACACGGCCACACUGGCACUGAAACACGGGCCAGACUCCUACGGGAGGCAGCAGUGGGGAAUCUUGCACAAUGGAGGAAACUCUGAUGCAGCGACGCCGCGUGAGUGAUGAAGCCCUUCGGGGUGUAAAGCUCUUUCGGCAGGAACGAUAAUGACGGUACCUGCAGAAGAAGCUGCGGCUAACUACGUGCCAGCAGCCGCGGUAAUACGUAGGCAGCAAGCGUUGUUCGGAAUUACUGGGCGUAAAGAGUGUGUAGGCGGUUCUCUAAGUUCCGUGUGAAAUCUCCCGGCUCAACUGGGAGGGUGCGCGGGAAACUGGAGGGCUCGAGUAUGGGAGAGGAAAGCGGAAUUCCUGGUGUAGCGGUGAAAUGCGUAGAUAUCAGGAGGAACACCUGCGGUGUAGACAGCUUUCUGGACCAUCACUGACGCUGAGACACGAAAGCGUGGGUAGCAAACAGGAUUAGAUACCCCUGGUAGUCCUAGCC
rnacentral:rRNA from 1 species